rnacentral:piRNA from 1 species
UCCAUGGUUACCCAUCCCUGCUUCUCUGCA